CUGACCACACGCACAGAGAAAGAGGGUGCGCAAAAAAAGGAGCCGCCGCGGGGUUGCCGUCGCCGCCGCGAGGCUGGGCUCGCCGCUGUGAAAGGUCACCGCCCUUCCUCUACCAUCACCGAAGAUCCAUCACCGAAGCUGCUGGGCUCGCCGUAUGCUACUGUUGUGUCGCCGGAACUGUCCUGGGGUUUUGCCACUCAUUUAGAUUCUGCUCUGUUUUGGGUUAGUGCUGUUGCUAUUGUUUUGGCCGCCGAAAAACCUCGAUGCCGCCACCUCUGCUGCCAGAAACAGCCGCUGAGUCUUCUAUGAUGAUAAGCUCUAACCCUGCUUCAGCUUCUUUACCUGUUAAUUUCUCCAUGGGCCAUGAGAGUUGUUGCUAAGGCUGGUUGUGUCAGGAGUUUACCGCGAGUUGCCGUCGUUCUGGUCACCGGCUGUGAAGUUGGUGUUGCCAGAAUCCACCAUUGGUGCAGCCGCUACUUGGUUCCCUCGAGUUCGAGUUGUUGAGAUUGUUGCGAAAGUGGCUUGGAACCGAGGUUUUGGCUGCCGGGAUUUUGAUUGUUGAUUUUGGGUCGAGGCGAAAAGUAUUCUGUGACGCGUUUGGGCUAUGGUAUGCGUUUUGAGGAUAUGGGCGCAGAAGUUACGAAGAGUUUAUUUAGUUGUGGUUGAAAUG